UACAGAGGUCCCGAGCGUUGUUCGGAUUCACUGGGCGUAAAGGGUGCGUAGGUGGCGAGGUAAGUCGGAUGUGAAAUCUCCAAGCUUAACUUGGAAAUGGCAUUGGAAACUACCUGGCUAGAGGUUUGGAGGGGGGACUGGAAUGCUUGGUGUAGCAGUGAAAUGCGUAGAUAUCAAGCGGAACACCAGUGGCGAAGGCGGCUUUCUGGCUCGUAACUGACGCUGAGGCGCGAAAGCGUGGGGAGCAAACAGG
rnacentral:rRNA from 1 species